CCUACGGGAGGCAGCAGUGGGGAAUAUUGCACAAUGGGGGAAACCCUGAUGCAGCGACGCCGCGUGAGCGAUGAAGUACUUCGGUAUGUAAAGCUCUAUCAGCAGGGAAGAAGAUGACGGUACCUGACUAACAAGCCACUGCUAACUCCGUGCCAGCAGCCGCGGUAAUACGCAGGGGGCGAGCGUUAUCCGGAUCUACGGGGUGUAAAGGGAGCGUAGAUGGCGAUGCAAGCCAGACGUGAAAGCCCCGGGCUCAACCCAGGGACUGCAUUUGAAACUGUGAGACUGGAGUGUCGGAGAGGCUAGCGGAAGUCCUGGUGUAGCGGUGAAAUGCGUAGAUAUCGGGAGGAACACUAGUGGCGAAGGCGGGUUCCUGGACAUUAACUGACGCUGAGGCACGAAAGCCAGGGGAGCAAAAAGGAUUAGAUACCCUAGUAGUC
rnacentral:rRNA from 1 species